CGGGGAGAUUGAAAUGUUCCACCAAAAUGGUGGAGAACAGGGCUGGAGAGCGUUUGAUAAAUUGUGACUGCUUGUGCGAACCUGCAGUCAAAGUGGAGGAAAGGGCUUGAUAAAUCUAGCCCUAUACAGAUGCAUCAUUUCAUCUUUAUCUGUGUAAACACUCAUUUGCUAUUUGUCAGACCAUUCUUCUGGCAGAGUAACAUAUCUCACAGAGAGCCGAAACCUGCUAUUUAUAAGCAUUAAUUGCACACAAAAAUGUGAUAAUGACGAAUGAGCCCAAGCAAGCCACUUAUUCAACAAUUCAAUGUAUGCAUGUUUGGGGGAAAUGACGAUGGAUUUUUAUAUGCUCAGAAAAAAUUAACAUAAAACGGUUUGCAAAUCACAGCAUUAACUUUUCCUGGAAACCCUUAACUUGCACUUUGGAAUAUUUUCUAUCUGCUAUCAAUAACAUCUUAUGCAAUCA